AAAUAUAAUACUUCAAGCGGAAGGCUCCGUUUUACCCAUUUCUCUAUUGAGGUCUUGGGGUAUGGAAUUGAUAAGCAAACCACAUUGCUGCAAUUUCCAAUCAAUGUUCAAGAACCAAUGCAAGAUGAUCAAGUACCCAGAGCCCCUUUGAGGAACAUCACCAAUCAGUACCCACAGGGCGGCUACUAAUCUCAGAUCUCAGCCGUCAGCUUCAGGAAUUGAUAAGCAAGCAAACCGCAUCGCUGCAAUUUGCUAGCAAUAUUCAAGAACCGAUGCAAGAUGAUCAAAUACCCAGAGCCCCUUUGAGGAACAUCACUGAUGUCAGUUCUCAGCCGUCAACUUCAGGUCACGCGCCACGACACAUACCCCGAUUUUUCACGGAAGCUAGCAGUUUGGCCAAACAAAUAAAAAACCUUACUGAGACAAAAGAAAAAUAUUCUGUAAGAUUAAAAAAAAGCUUAUGUGUCUAUCCACAAACACAUCUUUUCAAAAGGCUAUUAGGAGUUUCAUCGUUGAACAUCUUCUCUUCACCACACCCACACACACUCUCU